rnacentral:rRNA from 1 species
UUGAUAUUGGCCGGGGUGCUAUACAUGCAAGUCGAGCGAACGGACGAGAAGCUUGCUUCUCUGAUGUUAGCGGCGUGACGGGUGAGUAACACGUGGAUAACCUACCUAUAAGACUGGGAUAACUUCGGGAAACCGGAGCUAAUACCGGAUAAUAUUUUGAACCGCAUGGUUCAAAAGUGAAAGACGGUCUUGCUGUCACUUAUAGAUGGAUCCGCGCUGCAUUAGCUAGUUGGUAAGGUAACGGCUUACCAAGGCAACGAUGCAUAGCCGACCUGAGAGGGUGAUCGGCCACACUGGAACUGAGACACGGUCCAGACUCCUACGGGAGGCAGCAGUAGGGAAUCUUCCGCAAUGGGCGAAAGCCUGACGGAGCAACGCCGCGUGAGUGAUGAAGGUCUUCGGAUCGUAAAACUCUGUUAUUAGGGAAGAACAUAUGUGUAAGUAACUGUGCACAUCUUGACGGUACCUAAUCAGAAAGCCACGGCUAACUACGUGCCAGCAGCCGCGGUAAUACGUAGGUGGCAAGCGUUAUCCGGAAUUAUUGGGCGUAAAGCGCGCGUAGGGCGGUUUUUUAAGUCUGAUGUGAAAACCCCACGGCUCAACCGUGGAGGGUCAUUGGGAAACUGGUAAACUUG